GGACACGUGUUUAAUUAGGGUGGAGUUUAGUGAUAGCGAUGACAUCCAAGUGUGAGUGGCAUGAGCGUCUCCUGUCAGGGCGUUCAAGGUCGAUGCGGAGACUGGCAGGGUGAGGCAUUAUUUAGAACGCGGUAUCGAAAGGGCAGUUUGAAGCUUCACCUCACUGUAACUCCACUCCUCGUCCUUCUGUUCUUUCAGUCAUUCUCUGGUGUCUUAACCUUCUCUCCCUGCCUCGCCAGACAUCGCCAGUAAACAGGUGGUAAUGUAGCUUGAGGCAAAGGGCUUACAUUAAGCUCUCGUCAAGAAGAGGGUGAAAAUUGACUAACAGGAGGAGGAUAGCGAGGUGAAGUUCCUUUCGGUCAGUGUUUGAGCCAAGAAUCGCGUCUGCAGUUGAUAAAGGUUCACGAUACUUUUUCUUGUCAGGGUCGUUCUGGGUCGUCUCCUUGCUCUUGUUGAUCAGUAACAUUUUUCCGGUGUAACAAAACAAUACUGAAUCCCGAAGGUUUAUAAGGCAUGGCAAUCCUGAACCGAAAAUCGGCACCACGCAUGAUUCUUCUGGGCUCGGCGGCACAGCCAGGCGUAUGACGCAGUGUGAGUUCUGCCGGGCUGAUUCUUCCCUAUACGGGCUUCCCUUGGCGCUCCUCGUUCUAUAAUACUCAAAUCGUUUCUUACCGCGUCUUAAAAGAUUAUAUUUGUGGUAUUAUAUAUCAGUUAGUAGCCUCUUGAUGGCUGUGAUCCAGGGCGACACGUUGGUACGCUGCGCGGCGCUAACAGGUCACGGAGAGAGUUGACGCUCAGUGGCACUGAGCGAGUGACGGGUGAUUGUGUGCGCGGCUCGCCACUUCCCCCGCCCGAGGAAGUUCAGAGGACCGACUUGUAGACUUGUAACUAUGUAGCUUCGCCCUUAUAGUUUUUGAAAAAAAGUUAAUGCAGUGCAGUUGAUUACUACUGAAAUAGUACUCCAUGUUUUUACCGAGAUUAGUGUGGCGGGGAAUGUUGCAGAGUUGAUACAUGAAUGGGAGUUUUAGUACAAGCGAACAUUAGUUUGGCGACAACCACCUGUGAGUGUCUUGUGAUCGCGUAGUGCUGCCUCCAGGUGCUGGCAGGCCCCUGUGGUGAUGGGGGCCGCGCUGCACAUACUGCUGCUCAUCGCUCACGCAGCCCUCGCCGCCGCCACCAAGGCAGGUGUGUGACGGCCGCUGCCUGCCUGCCUGCCUGCCUGCCUGCCUGCCUGCCUGCUGCUGCUGCUGUUACUUUUACUGCCUGCCUCCUUGCUUCGUUAAGGUGUUCAGCUAAAUACUUGUGUACAGAGGAGGAGGGAGUCAGGGAAAAUGUGCCGAGCCCCGCCAAGCCCCGCCCCGUCCCGCCCCGUCCCGCCGCGGCUACGGUACCAAUCCCCUUCUCUCACCAUCAAUAUUUAGCGUAAUUUCCAGGGUUUUCCAGGUGUUUUCAGGUGUUUCUAGACUCGGGUAUAUAGCAGGAGGUGAAGGAAGAGGAUGUGAAGCGGAGAGGAGGAGUAUGAAGAGGAGGGGAGAGGAGAAAAGGGUGCUGGAGAGACGAGGGGAAAAAAGAACACUUCGGCCCAAAGUCGACAUUGUUUUUUUUUUUUUUUUGCGGAGUUAGCAUUGUUUUGAUAUUGAAUUUAUUAAUACAAAAAUAUAGCAUGUUAAAAUAUACAACAAGGUCUGCUGUAGCUGUGUUUUUGUUUGUGGGUAAAAUACAUUUUCGGCACCGUAUUGAUUUUAACUUUUUUGUUGUUAGAUCGCCUAGGAUUGUUUUAGUAUUUGAUUUAACACUUAAAAAAUAUAAGAAACGUGUCCCGAGUAAUAACAUCCAGUACAGUAUGUUUAAUUUUAAAAUACGUCCAACGCCGAAUAUGAAAACUUAAUUUCAUUAUUCGGAGAGGAAUUUGUUUUCUUUAUUUAGCUGAAA